GAUGAACGCUAGCGGCAGGCUUAAUACAUGCAAGUCGAGGGGCAGCAGUUUUGUAGCAAUACAGAAGCUGGCGACCGGCAAACGGGUGCGGAACACGUACGCAACCUUCCUUUAACUGGAAGAUAGCCCACCGAAAGGUGGAUUAAUACUCCAUAACAUAUUGAAGAGGCAUCUCUUUGAUAUUAAAGCUCCGGCGGUUAAAGAUGGGCGUGCGUCUGAUUAGGUAGUUGGCGGGGUAACGGCCCACCAAGCCUUCGAUCAGUAGCUGAUGUGAGAGCAGGAUCAGCCACACGGGCACUGAGACACGGGCCCGACGCCUACGGGAGGCAGCAGUAAGGAAUAUUGGUCAAUGGACGCAAGUCUGAACCAGCCAUGCCGCGUGGAGGAUGAAGGCCCUCUGGGUUGUAAACUUCUUUUCUUUGGGACGAAACCCCUGUUUCUACGGGGACUGACGGUACCAGAGGAAUAAGCACCGGCUAACUCCGUGCCAGCAGCCGCUGUAAAAC
rnacentral:rRNA from 1 species